AUUGAACGCUGCGGCAGGCCUAACACAUGCAAGUCGAACGAGUGGCGGACGGGUGAGUACUGUCUGGGAAACUGCCCGAUGGAGGGGGAUAACUACUGGAAACGGUAGCUAAUACCGCAUACCAUCGGAUGUUCCCAGAUGGGCUUAGCUAGUAGGUUGGGUAACGGCUCACCGAGGCGACGAUCCCUAGCUGGGCUGGGAGGAUGACCAGCCACACUGGGACUGAGACACGGCCCAGACUCCUACGGGAGGCAGCAGUGGGGAAUAUUGCACAAUGGGCGCAAGCCUGAUGCAGCCAUGCCGCGUGUAUGAAGAAGGCCCUAGGGUUGUAAAGUACUUUCAGUCGGGAGGCGUUACCGACAGAAGAAGCACCGGCUAACUCCGUGCCAGCAGCCGCGGUAAUAC
rnacentral:rRNA from 1 species